rnacentral:tRNA from 2 species
AGGAGUGUAGCUCAGCUGGUAGAGCAUCGGUCUCCAAAACCGAGGGUCGGGGGUUCGAGUCCCUCCACUCCUGCCA